UACGAAGGGGGCUAGCGUUGUUCGGAAUUACUGGGCGUAAAGCGCGUGUAGGCGGUUGCCAAAGUCGGGUGUGAAAGCCUUGAGCUUAACUCAAGAAAUGCACUCGAUACUUGGUGACUAGAGGACCGGAGAGGAUAGUGGAAUUCCCAGUGUAGUGGUGAAAUACGUAGAGAUUGGGAAGAACACCAGUGGCGAAGGCGGCUAUCUGGACGGUUUCUGACGCUAAGACGCGAAAGCGUGGGGAGCAAACAGG
rnacentral:rRNA from 1 species